ACUCAAAGGAAUAGACGGGGGCCCGCACAAGCGGUGGAGCAUGUGGUUUAAUUCGACGCAACGCGAAGAACCUUACCUACUCUUGACAUCCUGCGGACCUGGCGUAAUGGCCGGGGUGCCGAAAGGAGCGCAGAGACAGGUGCUGCAUGGCUGUCGUCAGCUCGUGUUGUGAGAUGUUGGGUUAAGUCCCGUAACGAGCGCAACCCCUGUCCUUAGUUGCCAUCAUUUAGUUGGGGACUCUAAGGAGACUGCCGGUGAUGAACCGGAGGAAGGCGGGGACGACGUCAAGUCAUCAUGGCCUUUAUGAGUAGGGCCACACACGUGCUACAAUGGGGCGUACAGAGGGAAGCGAACUUGUAAAGGGGAGCCAAUCUCAGAAAGCGCCUCGUAGUCCGGAUUGGGGUCUGCAACUCGACCCCAUGAAGUCGGAAUCGCUAGUAAUCGCGGAUCAGCACUGCCGCGGUGAAUACGUUCCCGGGCCUUGUACACACCGCCCGU
rnacentral:rRNA from 1 species